AUGAUAGCCUACUUCGAAGAGAAAGCAAAAGCAGAUAGUGAUUUCUUCUACAGGAUAAGGUUGGACGAUGAGGACCGUGUCAAAAACAUGUAUUGGGUGGAUGGUGCUGCAAGAAGAGCCUACAAACAUUUCCAUGAUUGCAUUUUGUUCGACGCAACAUAUCUCAUGAAUAUGUACAAGAUGUCAUGUGCUCCAUUCAUAGGAAUAAACAACCACAAUCAGUCCUUGCAGUUUGGUUGCAGUCUCAUUCAGAAUGAAGAUACCGAUGGUUACACUUGGCUAUUCAAAACCUUCUUGGAGUGCAUGGAUGGACUAGCUCCGAUGAACAUAAUAACGGACCAGGAUUUUAGCAUGCGCGCAGGCAUAGAGGAGGUCUUUCCGUUGGCAGUGCAUAGGCACUAUAGGUGGCAUAUUAUUAAGAAGGUUGAAGAGACGCUAGGACCAUUAUUCGCUGACCAUCCAGAGCUACACAAGGCAUUCGAGUUGUGUGUGGACCACAGCUUGACGGUGGAGGAGUUUGAAUGGAGCUAG
rnacentral:rRNA from 1 species